CUUCUGGGCUGUUGGACACAUUGACGGCAGCUUAUGAGGACACCGUGUCUCCGCUCAGAGAACACGAGCGACACGCAUCAGAUGUCCAGCAGCUGUUGGUGGUUAAAGAAGAGGUUCCUUUUGAGCAGCAGGUCUGAAGCUCCAGUCUGGACCAGAUGCAUCCAGAGCCCCCGCUAGUUAAAGAGGAACAGGAGGACCAAAAGAACUCAGUGCCCCCCCACAUUAAAGAGGAACAGGAGGACCAAGAGAACCCUGAGCCCCCCCACACUAAAUAGGAACAGGAGGACCAGGAGAACCCUGAGCCCCCCCACAUUAAAGAGGAACAGGAGGACCAGGAGAACCCUGAGCCCCCCUACAUUAAAGAGGAACAGGAGAACCCUGAGCCCCCCUACAUUAAAGAGGAACAGGAGGACCAGGAGAACUCAGAGCCCUCCCACACUAAGGAGGUACAUGAGGAACUCUGGACCAGUCAGGAGGGAGAGCAGCUUCAAGGGCUGGAGGAGGCUGGUCUCAAGUUCUCAUUCACUCCUGUGAAGAGUGAAGCUGAAGAGGAAGCUCAGUCCUCUCAGCUUCUUCAAAGACAAACUGAACCGAUGGCACGGUGGCUCAGUGGUUAGCACUGUCGCCUCACAGCAAGAAGGCCCUGGGUUCGAAUCCCGGUCGUCCCGGUCAUUCCAGGUCCUUUCUGUGUGGAGUUUGCAUGUUCUCCUCGUGUCUGCGUGGGUUUCCUCCGGGUACUCCGGUUUCCCCCACCAUCAUAAAGACAUGCACCGCAGCCUCACCCCGAAGCUGAUGGAGAUGAUUGUGGAGGACCAGAACCAGCCAGGAACGCAGAUCCAGAUAGACCUCCAGAUCCUGAUGAAAAGACUGGAGACUCUUCUGAACCAGAUACUGAUGAGUCUGUUGAUUGGAAAAAGACCAGAGAACCAGGUUUAAACUCUCUGAAUAAUGAUGUUGCUUCCGGGGUCGGGUCUUGGGGGCAGCAGACCCAGCAGGCUGAGCCAGACUUCCCUCUGACCUGCAACAUGUUCCAGCUCUUUCUGGGGGAUCCUGAGGCGUUCCUAGGCCAGCAGCGAGAUGUAAUCCCUCCAGCGGGUCCUGGGUCUUCCUGGGUCUCCUCCCAGUUGGACGUACUUGGAAAACCUCUAAAGGGAGACGUCCAGGAGGCGUCCGAAUCAGAUGCCCGAACCACCUCAGAGGACUCCUUUCGAUGCGAAGGAGUAGCGGCUCAACGCCAAGCUCCCUCCUGAUGUCUGAGCUCGGUACCCUAUCUCUCAGGCUGAGCCCGGCCACCCUACGGAGGAUAUUCGCGACCUUGAUCUUUUGAUCACGGCCCAAAGUUCGUGACCAUAGGUGAGGAUUGGAAGGUAGACCGACCAGCAAAUUGAGAGCGUUGCCUUUCGGCCCAGCUCCUCUUCACCAAGACGGUCCGCUAUAGCGCCUGUUUUACUGCUGCAGCCUGUCGAUCUCUCUCCAUCUUACCCUCACUCGUGAACAAGACCCCGAGAUGCUUGAACUCCUUCGCUUGGGGCACUCUGUCCCACCUGGAGGGAGCAGUCCAUCGGUUACCGGCAGAGCACCAUGGCCUCAAAUGUGGAGGUGCUGACUCUCAUCCCCGCCGCUUCACACUCGGCUGCAAAACACCCGAAAAUAAAGAUGGUUAAACAAACUGUCAAGCUGAUACAGACUCCAACACAAGUGUAUUCAGCUAAGAUUAAGCUACUUUAGAAUUAGAUUUAUAGAAAAUAGGUUGUAUAUAGACACUUUAGAAUGAGAGUGGAACGCUGAGCACAUUGGCCCUCUUUCUGCCACACAGCAUCUCAUACACACACACUGGCCCUCUCUGACCCCUCACACACACAUUGGCUCUCUCUCUGCCACCCCCACACCCACAGCUACACUGGCCCUUUGUAACUAUCCUGGGACCGACCUUCUAGCCACAGCUCGUCCCAUCCCGAAAGAGAUAAGACUAU